CAGCAGUCGCCGCGGUAAUACAGAGGGUGCAAGCGUUAAUCGGAUUUACUGGGCGUAAAGGGCGCGUAGGUGGUUAUGUAAGUGAGACGUGAAAUCCCCGGGCUCAACCUGGGAACUGCAUCUUAUACUGCGUAGCUGGAGUGCAGUAGAGGGUAGUGGAAUUUCCGGUGUAGCGGUGAAAUGCGUAGAUAUCGGAAGGAACACCAGUGGCGAAGGCGGCUACCUGGACUGACACUGACACUGAGGCGCGAAAGCGUGGGGAGCAAACAGGAUUAGAUACCCGCGUAGUCCCUGUCUCUUAUAC
rnacentral:rRNA from 1 species